UACGUAGGGUGCAAGCGUUAAUCGGAAUUACUGGGCGUAAAGCGUGCGCAGGCGGUUAUGUAAGACAGUUGUGAAAUCCCCGGGCUCAACCUGGGAAUUGCAUCUGUGACUGCAUAGCUAGAGUACGGUAGAGGGGGAUGGAAUUCCGCGUGUAGCAGUGAAAUGCGUAGAUAUGCGGAGGAACACCGAUGGCGAAGGCAAUCCCCCGGACCUGUACUGACGCUCAUGCACGAAAGCGUGGGGAGCAAACAGG
rnacentral:rRNA from 1 species